AUACCGGCGGCUCGAGUGGUGGCCACUUUUAUUGGGCUUAAAGCGUUCGUAGCUGGGUUGUUAAGUCUCUUGGGAAAUCCGGCAGCUCAACUGUCGGGCGUCUAAGAGAUACUGGCGAUCUUGGAACCGGGAGAGGUGAGGGGUACUUCGAGGGGUAGGAGUGAAAUCCUGUAAUCCUUGAGGGACCACCUGUGGCGAAGGCGCCUCACCAGAACGGCUUCGACAGU
rnacentral:rRNA from 1 species